rnacentral:tRNA from 1 species
GCCUGGGUGGCUCAGUUCGUUAAGCAUCUGACUUGGGUUCAGCUCAUGAUCUCACAUGUCCAUGGGUUCAAAUCCCACAUCGGGCU